UACGGAGGGUGCAAGCGUUAUCCGGAUUCACUGGGUUUAAAGGGAGCGUAGGUGGGUUGGUAAGUCAGUGGUGAAAUCCCCGAGCUUAACUUGGGAACUGCCAUUGAUACUAUCAGUCUUGAAUACUGUGGAGGUUAGCGGAAUAUGUCAAUGUAGCGGUGAAAUGCUUAGAUAUGACAUAGAACACCAAUUGCGAAGGCAGCUGGCUACACAAUUAUUGACACUGAGGCUCGAAAGCGUGGGGAUCAAACAGGA
rnacentral:rRNA from 1 species